UGAACUGCAUACUGCUUUGAACAUCGACAUCUUGAACGCACAUUGCGGCCAUGGGCUAGCUCAUGGCCACGCCUGUCCGAGGGUCGGCUUAUAAACUAUCACGACGCCCAAAAAGUCGUGGCUUGGGUCUUGCCAGCUGACGUGAUUUCCCUAUUGGUGCAAACUAACGGGGUGUCAGAUCUAUGGCGUUUCCCUAAUAAUUCCAGUUACAACCUCCUUUUGGCUGAAGGCUAUAUUGGAGGGUGACUGUGGAGUCGUGGCUCAAUGGUUAUGUUUGCGCGCGCUCUGCAUUGUCACCACUGUAUCUGUCAAACGUGAAAUGCUUUGUGCAUUUUACCUGACCUCGGAUCAGACGUGAAUACCCGCUGAACUUAAGCAUAUCACUAAGCGGAGGAAAAGAAACUAACAAGGAUUCCCUUAGUAACGGCGAGUGAACAGGGAAAAGCCCAGCACCGAAGCCUGUGGCCAUUUGGUCAUUAGGCAAUGUGGUGUUUAGGUCGUUCCACAGAGGUUCUGCUCCAUCCUAAGUCCAUCAAUGAGUACGGUAGUAUGGACAUGGCCCAUUGAGGGUGAAAGGCCCGUGGGGGUGGAGACAUCGAAAGGCCAGAGCCUCUCUGGGUAGACCUUGGAGUCGGGUUGUUUGUGAAUGCAGCCCAAAGCGGGUGGUAAACUCCAUCCAAGGCUAAAUACUUGCACGAGUCCGAUAGAGAA
rnacentral:rRNA from 1 species